AUUGAACGCUGGCGGCAUGCUUUACACAUGCAAGUCGAACGGCAGCGCGGGCUUCGGCCUGGCGGCGAGUGGCGAACGGGUGAGUAAUGCAUCGGAACGUGCCCAGUAGUGGGGGAUAGCCCGGCGAAAGCCGGAUUAAUACCGCAUACGACCUGAGGGUGAAAGCGGGGGACCGAAAGGCCUCGCGCUAUUGGAGCGGCCGAUGUCGGAUUAGCUAGUUGGUGGGGUAAAGGCUUACCAAGGCGACGAUCCGUAGCUGGUCUGAGAAGACGACCAGCCACACUGGGACUGAGACACGGCCCAGACUCCUACGGGAGGCAGCAGUGGGGAAUUUUGGACAAUGGGGGCGACCCUGAUCCAGCCAUGCCGCGUGCGGGAAGAAGGCCUUCGGGUUGUAAACCGCUUUUGUUCGGGAAGAAAUCCUCUGGGCUAAUACCCCGGGGGGAUGACGGUACCGGAAGAAUAAGCACCGGCUAACUACGUG
rnacentral:rRNA from 1 species